AAAAGACUUUUGGCAACGGAUAUCUUGGCUCACGCAUCGAUGAAGAACGUAGCAAAAUGCGAUACCAGGUGUGAAUUGCAGAAUCCCGUGAACCAUAGAGUUUUUGAAAGCAAGUUGUGCCCAAAGCCAUCCGGUGGAGGGCACGUCUGCCUGGGCGUCAC
rnacentral:rRNA from 1 species